rnacentral:rRNA from 1 species
UACGUAGGGGGCUAGCGUUGUCCGGAAUCAUUGGGCGUAAAGCGCGCGUAGGCGGUCAGGUAAGUCCGGUGUGAAAGUCAAAGGCUCAACCUUUGAAUGCCGCUGGAUACUGCCUGACUUGAGUCCGGAAGGGGCGAGUGGAAUUCCUGGUGUAGCGGUGAAAUGCGCAGAUAUCAGGAAGAACACCCGUGGCUAAGGCGGUUCUCUAGUACGGUACUGACGCUGAGACGCGAAAGCGUGGGGAGCGAACAGG